rnacentral:rRNA from 1 species
AUUGAACGCUGGCGGCAUGCCUUACACAUGCAAGUCGAACGGCAGCAUGGAGAGCUUGCUCUCUGAUGGCGAGUGGCGAACGGGUGAGUAAUGCAUCGGAACGUACCGUGUAAUGGGGGAUAACGUAGCGAAAGUUACGCUAAUACCGCAUACGACCUGAGGGUGAAAGCAGGGGAUCGCAAGACCUUGCGUUAUACGAGCGGCCGAUGUCAGAUUAGCUAGUUGGUGAGGUAAAGGCUCACCAAGGCGACGAUCUGUAGCGGGUCUGAGAGGAUGAUCCGCCACACUGGGACUGGGACACGGCCCAGACUCCUACGGGAGGAAGCAGUGGGGAAUUUUGGACAAGGGGGGCAACCCUGAUCCAGCCAUGCCGCGUGAGUGAAGAAGGCCUUCGGGUUGUAAAGCUCUUUCGGCCGGGAAGAAAUCGCACAGGCUAAUACUCUGUGUGGAUGACGGUACCGGCAUAAGAAGCACCGGCUAACUACGUGCCAGCAGCCGCCGUAA